UACGUAGGGGGCAAGCGUUGUCCGGAAUCAUUGGGCGUAAAGAGCGCGUAGGCGGUCCGGUAAGUCCGCUCUGAAAGUCCGGGGCUCAACCCCGGGAGGCGGGCGGAUACUGUCGGGCUAGAGUCCGGAAGAGGCGAGUGGAAUUCCUGGUGUAGCGGUGAAAUGCGCAGAUAUCGGGAGGAACACCGGUGGCGAAGGCGGCGACCUGGGACAAUACUGACGCUGAGGUGCGAAAGCGUGGGGAGCAAACAGG
rnacentral:rRNA from 1 species